rnacentral:rRNA from 1 species
UACGUAGGGAGCAAGCGUUGUCCGGAAUCAUUGGGCGUAAAGCGCGCGUAGGCGGCCCGAUAAGUCCGCUGUGAAAGUCAACGGCUCAACUGUUGGAUGCCGGUGGAUACUGUCGGGCUAGAGUACGGAAGAGGCAAGUGGAAUUCCUGGUGUAGCGGUGAAAUGCGCAGAUAUCAGGAGGAACACCGGUGGCGAAGGCGGGUCUCUGGGCCGAAACUGACGCUGAGGAGCGAAAGCGUGGGGAGCAAACAGG